UACGAAGGGUGCAAGCGUUGUUCGGAAUUACUGGGCGUAAAGCGUGCGUAGGCGGUUUGAUAAGUUGGAAGUGAAAUCCCAGGGCUUAACUCUGGAAUUGCUUUCAAAACUGUCAAGCUUGAGUAUGAUAGGGGACAGUGGAAUUCCUAGUGUAGAGGUGAAAUUCGUAGAUAUUAGGAGGAACACCAGUGGCGAAAGCGACUGUCUGGAUCAUUACUGACGCUGAGGCACGAAAGCGUGGGGAGCAAACAGG
rnacentral:rRNA from 1 species